rnacentral:rRNA from 1 species
CCUACGGGUGGCAGCAGUGGGGAAUAUUGCACAAUGGGCGCAAGCCUGAUGCAGCCAUGCCGCGUGUGUGAAGAAGGCCUUCGGGUUGUAAAGCACUUUCAGCGGGGAGGAAGGCGUUAAGGUUAAUAACCUUGUCGAUUGACGUUACCCGCAGAAGAAGCACCGGCUAACUCCGUGCCAGCAGCCGCGGUAAUACAGAGGGUGCAAGCGUUAAUCGGAAUUACUGGGCGUAAAGCGCACGCAGGCGGUCUGUCAAGUCGGAUGUGAAAUCCCCGGGCUCAACCGGGGAACUGCAUUCGAAACUGGCAGGCUAGAGUCUUGUAGAGGGGGGUAGAAUUCCAGGUGUAGCGGUGAAAUGCGUAGAGAUCUGGAGGAAUACCGGUGGCGGAGGCGGCCCCCUGGACAAAGACUGACGCUCAGGUGCGAAAGCGUGGGGAGCAAACAGGAUUAGAUACCCCUGUAGUC